rnacentral:misc_RNA from 1 species
UCUCCGAUGGUGAACCAGCGGAGGGAUCACUACAGAGUUGCAAAACUCCCAAACCAUUGUGAACGUUACCUAUCCCGUUGCUUCGGCGGGCGGCCCGGGCCCCGCGCCCGCCGGAGGUAAACCAAACCCUUGAAUUGCAUGGCCUCUCUGAGUCUUCUGUACUGAAUAAGUCAAAACUUUCAACAACGGAUCUCUUGGUUCUG